UAUGGUGUGUGCCAGCCGCCGCGGUAAUACGUAGGUGGCGAGCGUUGUCCGGAAUUAUUGGGCGUAAAGAGCAUGUAGGCGGCUUAAUAAGUCGAGCGUGAAAAUGCGGGGCUCAACCCCGUAUGGCGCUGGAAACUGUUAGGCUUGAGUGCAGGAGAGGAAAGGGGAAUUCCCAGUGUAGCGGUGAAAUGCGUAGAUAUUGGGAGGAACACCAGUGGCGAAGGCGCCUUUCUGGACUGUGUCUGACGCUGAGAUGCGAAAGCCAGGGUAGCGAACGGG
rnacentral:rRNA from 1 species